CUUCUGGCCAGGCUGCUCUCCCCCCAGCCUCUGAGGCAGCUGCAGCUCUGGGGCUGGCAGGCUGCAGCCGUGCUGCUCGGCCCUGCUCCCUAGAGCAGGCUGUGGCCACGCCGCCUGGCCUGCCAGUGCAUGCUGCAGCCAUGCCGCCCGACCCAGCCCGCUGGAACAUGCUGCAUCAGCACCGCCUGGCCUGCCAGAGCAGCUCCAGCCAAGCCAGAGACAUCCUCACCUGGCCUGCCCCAGCUAAGGUGCUUUUGGGGACCCCACAGCCAAGCCUCUCUUAAUCAAUACUACUCUGCACCACUACCUUCCUGCACAGACGACAUACCACGGCAAGCAUGGAGCCCGCUCAGCUCACCGUCACCGUAUGUCUCCUGGGUGCUGCUGGCAGACGCGGUACAGCAUUGCUACACAGCAGCAGCUCCUUGCCUUCACGGCAGCAGAUGGUGCAGUACGACAGCUAGCCGUCAUCGUCAUGAUGAGAAGCUUUGAAAACCAGUUUCAUGACUGGCCAGGCUACGGUGUGAAAGUUCUGUUUGUUUCUCCUUGAUGAAAACCUGCCCCCUUGGUUCACUCUACUUCCCUGUAAGCCAACUGCCCUCCCCUCCCCCCUUUGAUCACCGCUUGCAGAGGCAAUAAAGUCAUUGUUGUUUCAAA